GACGAACGCUGGCGGCGUGCUUAACGCAUGCAAGUCGAACGGAAAGGCCCUGCUUUUGUGGGGUGCUCGAGUGGCGAACGGGUGAGUAAGACGUGAGUAACCUGCCCUUGACUUUGGAAUAACUUCAGGAAACUGGGGCUAAUACCGGAUAGGAGCUCCUGCUGCAUGGUGGGGGUUGGAAAGUUUCGGCGGUUGGGGAUGGACUCGCGGCUUAUGAGCUUGUUGGUGGGGUAGUGGCUGACCAAGGCUUUGACGGGUAGCCGGCCUGAGAGGGUGACCGGCCACAUUGGGCCUGAGAGAGGGCCCAGACGGCUACGGGGGGCAGCAGUGGGGAAUAUUGCCCAAUGGGCGGAAGCCUGAUGCAGCAACGCCGCGUGCGGGAUGACGGUUUUCGGGUUGUAAACCGCUUUCGCCUGUGACGAAGCGUGAGUGACGGUAAUGGGUGAAGAAGCACCGGCUAACUACGUG
rnacentral:rRNA from 1 species